CUGUGUUUCAAGUGUUAUUUGAAAGCUUCCUCAGGAUCUGUUGAAAAUCCCCUUCUAUGUUUGCAGCUACUGAGACUCUGGCACCACGCUACCCCAAGCCAUUGGGCCUGCAGAACCAAUGGCCCUCCUCUGCUUGUUCAGAACUCCGCAGUUCCAGACAAGCUGGGCCUCAGGGACACUGUGCGCCCACCUGCCCCUUGGAAGCUCCACAAUUCUUCAAUCGCAGCCGGGUUAGUGUACUCACCACAGGCCGCAGUGCCUCAGGAGCCUGUGAUCCCUCCUUGCUUGCAGAGAUAUCCACAGUCCUCCAGACAAAGGAAGGGGAUUCUGCAGGCACUCCAGAUCCGCCCAGCUCCUCCUCUGCACACCGAUGGCUAGGCGCAGCUGGGCUCGGGGGAUAGUGUAGGCCCGCCCACCUGUCGGGAGCUCAGCAGACCUCCAAGUGCAGCCUGGAUGGGGAGGUGGAUGUAGUGGUCUCUAACCUGCUGCUCCACUUCACUGCACCCAGAAGCCUGGGGGGUCCGGAAUAGUCUGAGAUUUGUGCAGAGUGUGCUGAGCACUUACCACAGGCCGAGGUGCCUCAGGAACCUGCGAUCCCUCCCUGCUUGCAGAGAUAUUCAGUCCUCCAGACAAAGGAAGGGGCUUCUGCCGGCACUCCAGAUCCGCCCAGCUCCUCCUCUGCACCUAUGUCUUCCUCUUGAAGUCUUCUCCUAACUGGUAUGUAGUGACCUUCCUUAUUUCUUUGAAUCAGAUUUGCCUUGAUGUUCAUAUUAUCUGCAAACAGAAUAGCUACCCAUGUUUUUAGGGGGGGAUCCUGUUGCAUGGAGUAUUCUUUUCCAUCCAUUGAUUUUCAGUCUGUGACUUUUCUUUUUGUUAGAUGGGUUUCUUGUAUACAUCAUAUGGUUGGAUUUUGCUUCUUGAUCCAUCCUGUCAGUCUGUUUCUUUUAAUCGGUUAAUUGAGACCAUUUACAUUAAUGGUUACAACUGAUAUAUAUUGGUUUACUUUUGAUAUAUUAUCUUUCCACUGUUGAUUUUUUGCCUUUCCACUCUGUUUGCAUUGCUUAGUGGUUUUUUCCUAUGUCUAUCUAGAAUGUCUUUCAGUAUUCUUUUCAAUGUUGUUUUGGUGGUCAUGAUGUUCUUCAGCUCUUCUUUGUUGUGGAAGUAUCUUAUUUCUCCAUCCAUCUUUAAGGAUAGUUUUGCAGGGUGCAUCAAUCUGGGUUGGAAGUCAUUUUCCUUUAGGGUCUUAAAUUCUUCACUCCAUGCUUUUCUUGACCUCAUUGUUUGUGUUGAGAAGUCUGCUGUAAUUCUGAUAGGCUUUCUUUUAUAAGUGAUUUGUCUCUUCUCUCUAGCAGCUUUUAAUAUUCUGUUCUUUUGAUGAAUUUCUGGGAUGUUAGUUAUUAUAUGUCUGGAUAUAGUUUUAUUUUGGUUGUGGUUAUUUGGCAUUCUAUAUGCUUCACUGAUCUAUAUUUCAACUUCCAUUCUCAUUUUUGGGAACUUUUCAGCUAUUACUUCUGUAAAUAGCCUCUUGAUAUCAUUUAUAUUAUCACUUUUUAUUUAUCCUUUUCAAUCUUAUAUUGUUUUUCUUGCAUCAUCUUGCAGUUAUUGAAUUAUUAUUUCCUGGUUCCUUGGUUUUUGAAAAGAUCUUUCCUUGCCUGUUCAUGAACUGCAAUCUUAUUUUUGAGGUCUGAAAUUCUAUCUUCACUUUCAUUGAGGCAGUUUUGCCACUUUUGAUGGAAUUUUUCAUUUCCUGUAUAUCUCUUUGAAUCUGCUUCAGGUAUUCUGUUUGUUUCUUAUAUUUUUCAUUCAGAGUUUCCAUAUUUUUGCAUUGUACCUCUAGUUUUUAAACUAUGUCUUCUUUAGAUGUGUUUAGCAUUUCUUUCAUUACAUUUAUCAUUUCUUCUUUUACCUGGGAAACUAUUUCUGAUUUAAGUUAUUUUAUAGUUUCCCAGAGUUGUUUCAGUAACAACUGAAUAUUAGUUGUUUCAGAAGUAAACUUCAGUUGUUAUAAUUUCAGGAAUUUCAGGUCUAUGGCUUAUAUAUUCUUCUGUUUUCAUGUCUCCUAUACUUGCUGGAAUUUUGAGAUUGCAUUUUGAUCUUUCAUUUUGUCAUUUUCCUAAUUGUCUGGGUUUUUAGUGCUGUUUCAAAGCUUCCCCCAUGAACUGGGAAUCACCUAGCCCUAUUUUGGCUCCUUGGGCAGACUGCUGGCAACUGCUAGCCACUUGGAGUUCCCAGGACAUGGACCAGUUAGGCCUAUGUGAACUCCCAUAUGUCUUCCUGUGAUUUAGGACAUGAUGCAUGGCUUCUCUGUGUGCUGGGAUCCAACCUGUGCAUGUUCAGCACCCAAGACUGAAUUCAGGUCCCCAAUAGCAGCUUGGCAUUCUCUAGACACAGGCCAGUUAAGCUCAUGGGGUCCUCCCCCUGCAUUCUCCAGUGAUUUCAGAUAUUGGUAUUGGUCUUACAACCUGACAGCAAUGGCCCAGAGCUUCCCUGUGCAAUAGAAUUCAACCUGUGCACAUUCAGGGCCUAGAACUGAAUUCAGGCUCCUACCAGUUGCUUAGAGUUCACUGGGCUGGGACAGUUAGGCCUAUGGUGACCUCCUGUGUGUUCUCCAGUGAUUUUAGAUGUGGGUCAUGGUCUUACUGCCUGGGAGCCACAUUCCAAGGCUUCCCUGUGUGCUGGGAUUCAACCCCUGCAUGUUCAGGGAGCAGGACUGAAUUGAGGUCAUUGUCAGCUGCUUUCAUUUCACUGGGAAUGGACCAGUUAGUCUAACAGGGACCUCCUGUUCAUCCGCCAGUGAUUUCAGAUGUCGGGCAUGGUCUUAUCAACUGGGAAUGAUGUUCCAAGAUUCCCUGUGUGCUGAAAUUCAACCUGCACAUGCUCAGGGGCCUGGCCUGAAUUCAUGACCCUGGCAGCUGCUAGAACUAAACUUUUAAAUGCACCUUGGACAUUUUAAUUAAACAUGAACUUUGCAUAAAGCAUAUUCACAAAUGGAGAGACUAAAAAAUGGGAUUAUUUGACACUGAUCAUUUUUAUUCAUAUAUAUUUCCCUGAAACUUAGCAAAUUAGGUUGGUUUCCUAAUAUGAGAUUGCUCAUUAAAUGAUACACAAGGCAAUCAUUUAUAAAGCUUUGAUUUAGAUACAUAGAUCCUCACUGUUUUUAAAAAAUAAAGAUAUACUGUUAUGGAUAUGUUAGAUAUAAAAGGAUAAUAAACAAUAGCACUGCUAAGUGCUGCUGUUAUUCAGGAGUUAUUCACUCAGUAUUAUUUCGGAGCUAUUCUCUAUACACCUUCCUAUGAUUUUGUUUCUGGAAAGGAAUGGAAAAAUGGGAUGGGAUGGUACCUGCCUGGAAUACAGUGGUAGGGAACUGAGGCAAGUGCCUUUUAAAUCUGAGCAAAGGCUUGGCAAUAAAGUGACUUAAGGAUGUCUUAUUUCAAGAAAAUUAAAUUUUAUACAGGGAAUAUAUGUGAGUGGAAAGUUUUUAUUCCAUCCUAAAUAUUUAAAAAAAAAACAUAAUCAGGGCUGGAGAUUUAGCUCAGCGGCAUAAGUGCCUGCCUUGCAAGCAGGCGGUCGUGAGUUCGAUCCCUGGUACCGAUAAAAAGGAAAAAGACCAAAAAAAAAAAAAAAACCCAUAAUCAACAAAUAGUUAUCAUGCAAUAGGAUAGUUCAAGUCCAUCAUGUUUUGGGUAUGGGUCUAUGAAUAACAAAGAAAUCAUAAAGCUACAUAAAUGAAAAUAUAUUUUCUGCUAGAUAUGAAACAAUGUGUAAAGUAUCCAAAACAUCACUAUGUCAAUGCUCAGAGAAAUCACUGUCUUCAAAUAUCUGUAACAUUUCUGGCUUAUGAAGAUCCUGUGGGAAAAGCUCUGGCUGGCACUGCCCUGACUCUCACUGUCCUCACAGCUGCUGUCCUUGGGAUCUUUGUGAAGCACCAAGACACUCUCAUUGUCAAGGCCAACAACCAGGAUCUCAGCUACACGCUGCUCAUCUCCCUCAUCUUCUGUUUCCUCUGUUCCUUUCUCUUCAUUGGCCAUCCCAGCACAGCCACCUGCAUCCUCCAGCAGACCACAUUUGGAGUUGUGUUCACUGUGGCUGUUUCCACUGUCUUGUCUAAAACAGUUACUGUGAUGCUAGCCUUUAAAGUCACUACUCCAGGCAGAAGGAUGAGACAGUUCCUGGUAUCAGAGGCACCUAACUACAUCACCCCAUCUGCACCCUGAUCCAACUUACUCUCUGUGCAGCCUGGAUGGGGACAAAUCCACCCUAUGUUGACACAGAUGCAUAUUCUGAACAUGGUCACAUCAUCAUCAUAUGUAACAAGGGCUCCCUCACUGCAUUCUACUGUGUCCUGAGAUACUUGAGCUCCUUGGCCCUGGUCAGCUUCACUGUGGCUUUUCUGGUGAGGAACCUGCCUGACACAUUCAAUGAAGCAAAGUUCCUGACAUUCAGCAUGCUGGUGUUCUGCAGGGUGUGGGUUACCUUCCUUCCUGUAUACCACAGCAUCAGGGGGAAGGUGAUGGUGGCCAUGGAGGUCUUCUCCAUCUUGGCCUCCAGUGCAGGGCUGUUGGGCUGCAUCCUUGUUCCUAAGUGCUACAUUAUUUUAUUAAGGCCAGAGAGAAAUUAUCUGACUGAAAUCAGGGGCAGAACACAUUUUGGGAGAAAGAAAUAGUUUUAUCAUUAAACAUGUUUGUUUCUUGAAAUAGAGUGAACCUGAUGUGAAUCUGUACCAUAUUUGAAUUCUGAUAGUCCACUAUAUUUUAGGAGUUAUAUCCAUAACAACUGAUUCUCUUUUUUCUGGUAGUAUAGUAGCUACUGGAAACUAUAGUCACCAUCUUUAUAAUUUGAAUUUCAUUCUAAAUAUUUUUUCUGUUUCUUUUUUAUAAUGUAAUUCAACUUAUUGUUUUUUAUUGUGAUUAUGCUAUUUUCUUUAAUCUUGUCUUCCCUUUCAGUUUUGCAAUGAUUUUCUAAUUUUAAAAGGUAGGUCAGUGAUUUAGCUCAGUGGCUAAGUGCCUGUCCACAAGCACGAGGUUGUGAGUUCAAUCCCUGGUAACAAAAAAAAGUCAAAAAUUGUUUUCUCUUACUCACAGUGUUUCUCAAUCUUGUAAUGUAUUUUGUUACUUUUUUUCCUUUUGAAAAAGUAUGUUGCAUUCCAGGUGCAGAAUCUGGCAAUUUUGAUCAUUCUAUGUAUACUUUUCUUUUUACUCUUGCGUUUGUUAUGUUAAUUACAUUGUUUUUUCUAUCUUUUUGAGGCAAGUUUCACUAAGGAGUCCAGGCUGGCCUUGAAUCAUUGUAGCCCACUCUAGCAUCAAACUCAUUCCUCAGGAUCUUAAGUGCUGGGAUUACAGGCAAGAAGCACCAACCAUGCUAAUCAUUAUAUUUUUGAAACAUCUGAAUCUCACAUGGCUUUUAGGAUUCUAGAAUUGGCUCCUUGACUACAAGUACAAAUCUCUUGAUUAUAUGAUGCCAAUGUACUGAAUUUAUAGAAUGAUUUGUGGAAGAACUUGUAGAAUUUCAAUAGAAACUUCUCCUGUCCCCGAUUAGUAUUUCCACUUAACUUUGUUUAAUCAUAUUUUACUAAUCACAUCUAUGCAUGUGAUUAUGUACACUUGCAUUAUAGUAGGUUUGCAGUAAAAAUUUCUUGUCAUGUUCAUACCCAGAUAUUUUUAAAGGUUUUUUGAUAAUGUGAUGGGGAAUGAUUUCCCUGCAUAUUUCCUUUACUAUAUAUCUACAUAUGAGUUCAUACUAAUGGUAUUUAUCUCAAUCUGAUAAAAGUCAUCUAUGGUCUUAAGUGAAGUUUAAAAAAAAGGUCUUCUAUGAGAAAUCCACAUUAUGCUAAAUGGGCAAAAACUGAAAGCUUUCACUCUAAAAUCAGGAAUAAGACAAAGGUGUCCACUGUCACCAUUCUUAUUCAAUAUAGUUCUGAAAACAUUAGCAGAGCAAUUAGACAAGAAAAAUAAAAAGGAAAGGAAGAAGUUAAACUAUCAUUAUUUGUGAGUGACAUGAUAUUCUACACAGAUGACCCCCAAAACUCAAUUAAAAACCUUUAGAUUUAAUAAUCAAAAUCAGUAGCAUAACUGGAUAUAAAGUCGACACUCCAAAAUCAACAGCCUGCCUAUACACUCCUAACAAACUCACUGAGAGACAAGUUAAAUAAAAAUACCUUUCACAAUAGCAUCCAGAAAAAUGAAAUACAUAGGAAUCAAUCUAAUGAGAAAGGUAAAAACCACUACAUUGAAAACUAUAGUACUCUGAAAAAUAAGAUUGAAGAGGAUAUCAGAGAAUGGAAAAAUAUGCCAUGCUCUUGGGUAGGAAUACCUAACAUAGUGAAAAUGGUCAUACUUCCAAAAUUGUUACACAGAUUUAAUGCAAUUCUGAUCAAAAUUUCAACAGCAUAUCUCAUGGAAUUAGAGAAAAUAAUCCUAAAAUUCCUUUGGAACCAGAAGAGACCUAGAAUAGCAAAACCCAUUUCAGGGCAAUAAAGGCAAAGCAAGGGGCAUCACAAUCUCUUACUUGAAACUCUACUACAAAGCUACUGUGAUGAAAACAGCAUGGUACUGUCAAAAAACAAAAAUAAAAACAAUAACAACCACAACUACAAAAACCAGACCUGAAGAUUAAAGAAACAGAUUUGAGAUGUAGAACAACUCCAGACAUAUUCACUCAGCUAUGCUUGAACAGGAGCCAAGCACCUUCAUUUGACAAAAGAUAGCCUCUUUAAAAAUGGUGCUGGUUUUCUACAAAAUGAAGAUUCAAAGAGACACAUAUCUUUCAUGCAUUAACCUAAAAUCAACAUGGAUCAACAUAUUAAAACAGAAACACUAAAUCUGCAGGAAGAAACAAUAAAUAGAACACUUGAACACAUUGAUGUAAGUAAAGACUUUAAGAUCAAAACUCCAAUCAAAUGGAACUAUUACAAAAAAUCAACAACUGGGAUCGCAUUUUAUUACAAAAAAGACUUGCACAGUAAAUGAAACCACUAAUAGAGUGAAGAGACAACCCACAGAGCAGGAAAAGUGUUUGCUUGGUGUUCCUCAGACAAAAGGCUAAUAUCUAGAAUAUGUAAAGAACUGAAAACAAUCAGAUACCAGCCUCCUCCCCAUUUUAAGACCAAAUGUAAAAAUGGCCAUAUGCAAUGGAGACACUUCUCAGAUGGAGUAGAAAUGACAAAAAAAAUGCAUGAAAACAUGUUCGACAUCACUGAUCAGUCAAGACAUGCACAUUAAAACAAUGCUGAGAUUCCAUCAAAAUAUUUCUGGAAGUUAAUGGCAGUGCCACAACUCCCUCUGAACCUCUGGCGCUCUAUGAAAGUAGUCCUAAGAGGGAAGUUGAUUGUAAUUAACUGUUCCUUUAAGAAAACUAAAUGGACUCAAAUAAAAGGCAUCAUAAGAAACUUUAAGAUAUUCAAGAAAUAACACCAAUCUGGGCCCAAACCAACACUAAGAAGGGAAAUCACAAGGUUUAGACUGAAAAUCAACAAAAUUGAAAUUAAAAACAAUACAAAGAAUCAACAAACAGAAAAGCUGUUUUUUUCAGAAGAAUAAACAAAAUAAACUCUUGGCCAAACUUAUCAUGAGAAAGAGAGUAAAAGCUCACAUCAAUGUAAUUAGAGGGGAAAUCUCAAUCCACUCUUUGGAAAUUCAGAAGAUAGUAGCUAUUAUGAAACAUUGCAUUCCAAUAAAGUGGAAAAAUAGGAAGAAAUAACACUUUCCUAGUACAAGUUGCCAAAGCUAACCCAAGACGGUACAAAAAUAUUUAUCCUCAUAACAAGCAAACAACUGAGAAAGUAAAAGAGUCUACCAACUACAAACUGCCCAGCCCCUGAUGGACUGACUGCUGAAUUCUACACGAUGUUAAGGAUGUUACCUCACCUAUACUACCAAAGCCUUCAAAAAGGCUUGAAGACCUCUCUGCUCCUGCACUUCCUUCUGCUGAUGACACUGUGUCACGUGGUGGUGUCCCUUCCCCAGGAGCUGCUCUCACUGGUGGCAUCACCUCAGAUGGCGCUCAAGAGCCAGGAGGCCCAGUGUCUGCAGCAACAGUGAAACCAGCUCCUGUCCCACUUGUGGCAGCAUGCAGAGGCCUGGUGUCAGCUGAUCUCUCAGAAAGACACACAGCUCAAGUUCUGUUGCAUACAACAGCUCAUGGUGCAGCUGCUGUGUGAGGAGAAUCAGGCAAGAGGAGACCCAGGUAAUGGAGCUGUCCAGGUUCCUGCAUGGGAGGACUUGGCCACCUCCGUGUCUUUUCCAUAUUCUCAUCCUACCCACCACAGCAUCUGGAAGCCACCAAGCAGCAGAAGCAGCAGUCAUCCCCGCUGAGCCUGCUCCUUCUGUGUUGGCAAGAUCAUUCUGGAAACUCCCAAUAGAAGAUGAAGGGGACAAAGAGGACAGGCAUGUUCAAUAUGGACCAGUGUGACCAUUCCUGGGAUAGCCUAGAUGCCAGGGUGAGUUGCACUGGUCUUUGUCUUUUCUCUGUGCUACCUUAUGGUCCCUUUGGACACCCAAAUACCUUCCCCACCCUCUGAUUUCCCUGGACCCCAUGCCUUCCCUGCGAGGCAGCAAUCAGACAACUUCCCCUUUGGAACAACAGAUGCUAGCAACAGACAGGGAGCUUCUUUGUGCCCUUUGCUCCAGCUUGUUUUGAGCAGUCCUCCCACAAAAUCACACUCUGCUUCCUUCAGGCAGCAUUAUUAAUGAAGAUUUUGCCAGUGCCCAGGAAACACUCACUUGACAGCAUCAGCAGCUGAGGGAACAGAAGCAGCCAUGCCAGUGCCUGGCUUGCCUGGCAACCCUGACCCAGGGUGAGCCUGAGGAGGUGCUGGCUCCAGCAGAGAGGAUGACUGCCUGUCUGGGCAAAGCCACCAGGUCAGAAAUCAGGCCAUGGCAAAGCUGAUGGGGAUGACUACAGGGUUCGACAUGAAAGCUGGUGUCCUAGAGAAGCUUAGGAAGACCCUGGACGGACCCUGUGAAUUCUAUCACAAGGAUUGGGGACAAAUCAGGAACAGAGUCAUUUGAGAGACCAUCCUUCACCAAGAUGCUUGUGGACAUCUGCCAAUUUGCACUCACAUAUCUGUAUCUCCUGUGCUAAUCUGUCUUGUGAACCUCCCUUUUAGCAAUUGUGCUGUCAGUUAAUUUGCAGCUACAAACCUAGGUAGUGGCAUUAAAAAAAGUUAUCCUGCAUAGUCUGAUUUUACUUUGAAGAAAUGUAGAUCAUUGGAUCAUUCAACGCUUGCCAUGGCUUGACCUCACUUGGAAUUUUUGUUGUUGUUCUUUUUUUUAGUACUUUCCUUAUUAAGGCAAGAUUGUGUUCAUGUGUGUACAGUAGUCCAAAUGACAGAAAACUAUACACAAGAUCAAAGUCUCCUUGAUUUCCAUUUUCCCAGGCCUAUAUUUGUUACCUUUACUUUUGUAUUUUAUUAUUAUUAGCUCUCAAUAGUUUCCAUAUAGUUUUACAUUUAAUGUAUUAAUAUGAACAACUGUUUUGCUGGCUUUCAUAAAUGUUUUAUUUCUCAUAGCACAGUACCCUUUUCUCCUUGCCACUUUGUGAAAUGUGCUCUGUGUUAAUUUAAAUUUAGCAAUAUUCAUAGAAGGAGGGGAGCCUGAUUAGACAACAGUAUGGGACUAUGGAAGAGACGACAAUAAAAUGAAGGGUAAUUGUGGGGCUAGAUAUCAUCAAAAUAUGCGACAUACAUGGAUGAAAGUAACACAUUCAAACCCAAUAUUUUGUAAAAGUGUAUGUAACUAAUAAAAACUUUAUGAAAUACCAA